CAGUAGCCGCGGGAAUACGUAGGUGGCGAGCGUUGUCCGGAAUUAUUGGGCGUAAAGGGAGCGCAGGCGGACAUAUAAGUCCAUCUUAAAAGUGCGGGGCUCAACCCCGUGAGGGGAUGGAAACUGUAUGCCUUGAGUGCAGGAGAGGAAAGCGGAAUUCCCAGUGUAGCGGUGAAAUGCGUAGAUAUUGGGAGGAACACCAGUGGCGAAGGCGGCUUUCUGGACUGCAACUGACGCUGAGGCUCGAAAGCCAGGGGAGCGAACGGGAUUAGAUACCCCCGUAGUCCCUGUCUCUUAUACA
rnacentral:rRNA from 1 species